rnacentral:rRNA from 1 species
UCAGGAUGAACGCUGGCGGCGUGCUUAACACAUGCAAGUCGAACGGAGUUGAGAUGAAGCUUGCGAUUCUCAACUUAGUGGCGGACGGGUGAGUAACGCGUGGGUAACCUGCCUUAUACAGGGGGAUAACACUUAGAAAUAGGUGCUAAAACCGCAUAAGCGCACGGCCUCGCAUGGGGCAGUGUGAAAAACUCCGGUGGUAUAAGAUGGACCCGCGUCUGAUUAGCUAGUUGGUGAGGUAACGGCCCACCAAGGCGACGAUCAGUAGCCGGCCUGAGAGGGUGAACGGCCACAUUGGGACUGAGACACGGCCCAAACUCCUACGGGAGGCAGCAGUGGGGAAUAUUGCGCAAUGGGGGAAACCCUGACGCAGCGACGCCGCGUGAGUGAAGAAGUAUUUCGGUAUGUAAAGCUCUAUCAGCAAGGAAGAUAAUGACGGUACUUGACUAAGAAGCCCCGGCUAACUACGUGCCAGCAGCCGCGGUAAUACGUAGGGGGCAAGCGUUAUCCGGAUUUACUGGGUGUAAAGGGAGCGUAGACGGUGAGGCAAGUCUGAUGUGAAAGCCCGGGGCUCAACCCCGGGACUGCAUUGGAAACUGUCAGACUAGAGUGCAGGAGAGGUAAGUGGAAUUCCUAGUGUAGCGGUGAAAUGCGUAGAUAUUAGGAGGAACACCAGUGGCGAAGGCGGCUUACUGGACUGUAACUGACGUUGAGGCUCGAAAGCGUGGGGAGCAAACAGGAUUAGAUACCCUGGUAGUCCACGCCGUAAACGAUGAUUACUAGGUGUUGGGGGUUUAUGAACCCUCGGUGCCGGCGCUAACGCAUUAAGUAAUCCACCUGGGGAGUACGUUCGCAAGAAUGAAACUCAAAGGAAUUGACGGGGGACCCGCACAAGCGGUGGAGCAUGUGGUUUAAUUCGAAGCAACGCGAAGAACCUUACCAAAUCUUGACAUCCCCCUGACAGAGUAUGUAAUGUACUUUUCUUCGGACAGGGGAGACAGGUGGUGCAUGGUUGUCGUCAGCUCGUGUCGUGAGAUGUUGGGUUAAGUCCCGCAACGAGCGCAACCCCUAUCUUUAGUAGCCAGCAUUUCGGAUGGGCACUCUAGAGAGACUGCCGGGGAUAACCCGGAGGAAGGUGGGGAUGACGUCAAAUCAUCAUGCCCCUUAUGAUUUGGGCUACACACGUGCUACAAUGGCGUAAACAAAGGGAAGCGAGCCCGUGAGGUGGAGCAAAUCCCAAAAAUAACGUCUCAGUUCGGAUUGUAGUCUGCAACUCGACUACAUGAAGCUGGAAUCGCUAGUAAUCGCAGAUCAGAAUGCUGCGGUGAAUACGUUCCCGGGUCUUGUACACACCGCCCGUCACACCAUGGGAGUCGGUAAUGCCCGAAGUCAGUGACCCAACCGUAAGGAGGGAGCUGCCGAAGG